UACGUAGGGUGCAAGCGUUAAUCGGAAUUACUGGGCGUAAAGCGUGCGCAGGCGGUUUUGCAAGACAGAUGUGAAAUCCCCGGGCUUAACCUGGGAAUGGCAUUUGUGACUGCACGGCUAGAGUGUGUCAGAGGGGGGUAGAAUUCCACGUGUAGCAGUGAAAUGCGUAGAUAUGUGGAGGAAUACCGAUGGCGAAGGCAGCCCCCUGGGAUAACACUGACGCUCAUGCACGAAAGCGUGGGGAGCAAACAGG
rnacentral:rRNA from 1 species